rnacentral:rRNA from 1 species
CUAUGUGUUGUUGGGUAGGGGAGCGUUCUGUAAGCCUGUGAAGGUGGCCUGUGAGGGUUGCUGGAGGUAUCAGAAGUGCGAAUGCUGACAUAAGUAACGAUAAAGCGGGUGAAAAGCCCGCUCGCCGGAAGACCAAGGGUUCCUGUCCAACGUUAAUCGGGGCAGGGUGAGUCGACCCCUAAGGCGAGGCCGAAAGGCGUAGUCGAUGGGAAACAGGUUAAUAUUCCUGUACUUGGUGUUACUGCGAAGGGGGGACGGAGAAGGCUAUGUUGGCCGGGCGACGGUUGUCCCGGUUUAAGCGUGUAGGCUGGUUUUCCAGGCAAAUCCGGAAAACCAAGGCUGAGGCGUGAUGACGAGGCACUACGGUGCUGAAG